CACACACACACACACACACAGACUGUACAUCCUGCAUGCCAUAAUAUUUCACAAGUAAUUCCUUAUUAAAUACCUUCUUAUCACCUCAAAAUUUACAAAGUACACACGUAAUGCUGUGUGUGUGUGUGUUUGUGAGUGUGUGUGUGUGUGUGAGUGUGUGUGUGUGUGUGUGUGUGUGUGUGUGUGUGUGUGUAUUGUGUCAACAAGCUGCUUACAGAUACAAACCAGUUCCAGAAUUAGAAUUUGAAAAUGAAGUAGAAUUUUUCCUGUAGAUGUGUUACACACACACACACACACACACACACACACACACUAACACACACACACACACCACCACCACCACCAACAGCAACAACUGAUGUCAUGUUCAGGAACAGAGUUACAUGCGUAACCCAGAUGUUUAAGGAAGGAGUCUCCAGUGUCAGCACUGUGUAACAGUCAGAGGACAAGGGCCGGUUCUGGAUAAGCGGAUUAGUCAGUGAGUGUGUGUUGGUGUGGAGGAGAACCUGUGGUUACUAUGAGAACAGAUUGUGGUUUGUGUGUGUGUGUCACAGAGAGAAUAAUGAACGAGCUCGGAGCAUAAAGUUGGGCAGAAAUUUCUUCUCACACAUCACUCGAGGAAAUUUCCUGAACGGCACCCCAUAGAAGAGCGUCGACUGAACAUGGACUUUAUUUUCUGCACUCGAGUCUCCAUCAGUGAACAGAGGAGAAGAACACGAAACAGACUUCAUGUAGAAACUGUAAUGAAUUUCC